AUGACCUCUGUUCUACCGUCUCCUUCUAUGACAUCAACUUUUUGAGUUUCCCCAUACGAAUGAGAACAUAUAGUAUCUGUCUCUGUUUCUGUACCUGGCUUAUUUCACCUAAUGUUCUGUCCCCAAAUUCCAUCUAUGUUGUUGCAAAUGACAGGAUUUCACCUCCUUUCAUAGCUGAAUAAUAUUAUCCCUCUUCUUAAUUAUCCAGGAGCCACAGCUCUUUCUAUAUGCAAGUCUUGGCAGGUCACUCUACGGCUUUAAAUCCCUGAUUGCUCAGCUGCCUGUGAUGAAGCCCUCACCUCUACCACGGCUAGGCUUCCUGCUUGGACUCUUGGCUACUUUUCCAGCUUUCUCUCUCUCUAACCCCACCAUGGCUUCCUUCACUCCAACUUCUGUAGAUGCCAGCUUUCCUAGACCAUUCACCAGCCCAAGGCUAAUUCCCAGCGACCCAGGGGCUUCCUGGACUUGGUGAAACCCAGGAUAGUCCUGGGCAACCGGGAUAGUUGGCCACCUGUUUUGCCUUGGAUCUCUGCAUAUUUCCAUCUUAUUCUUCUCUGAACUGUUCCAACUCACUUCCUAUUUACUACUUAUUCCCAGGUCUGUGCUUGGAUGUCACUUCUGUAACUCCCCGAGGAGUGGCUUACUUGUCCCUUCUGGGGGCUGGCACAGUACACACUCCUUGCAGCCAGCAUGGUAUUAUCAUAGCUGCUGUCCACUCCCCAGCUGUACUAGCGCCUUGAAAGCAGGAGUAGGUUUUUCUCACACCUACACACUAGGCCCUCUGUAUCCACAGGUCCUAUAUCCUAGAGUUCAACCAAUCAGAGAUCACAAAAAUCGGAAAAAGACAAUUUUCCUGGUGCCAAAGUAUACUUUGUAGUUAGGUCCACCAUGAUCAUCUCUGUACUGGUCACGUACAAGCUGCCUUUUCUUGUCGUUAUUCCUUAUGUCAUAUAGUAUAACUGCUUAUAUUAUUUACAACAUAUUUACAUUGUGUUAGUUAUUACAAGUCAUCUAGAAACAUUUUAAAGUAUAUGGGAGGGGCUGGGGGGUCUAGCUUACUGAGCCCAUGCUUAGCACACACAAGACUCUAACCACAAUUCCUGGCACCAAAAGAAAUAAAAAGUUACAUGCAAAUAUAUGUAGGUUAUAGGCAGAUAUCACACCAUUUGUCCACAAGAGACUUGAGCAUCAGUUGAUUUUGAUGUCAGAAUUCACAUUCUGAGGGACAACUCUAUUCCCAAAACCUAGCACAGUAGGUAUUCUAUAAAGUUUUGCUGAAUUAAUGAAUAGCAAUAUCAUCUUUAUUGAUUGUUUCUAGUUCAUACCACUGUGUUGUGACGUACAGACAGUUAAGGGGCACACAAGGAACCAUCCUGAGGCAGAGUCUAUUCCAAAAUAUUUGCAAAAAUAUUUCCCAGCCCACAUGUACUUCCAGAACCUUGCCACUUUCCAGAGUCUGUCACCUCUGCUUGAAAUUGGACAAGUCUCUCUGGCCAACGAGGGAUGAAAGAAGUGACACUAUGAGACUUCCAAGAUCAAGAGGAGAUUCAGAUUCCAUCUGGCUUAGCCCCAUGCCCUAAGGCCCAGGCCAUAUGGAGGGAAACGGGCCCCACCCUCAGCCUAGCUGAGUGCCCACCUGUCCCUCCGCCAUCUUGGAAGUGGAAUGUGGACUAGACUCAAGCUCCCUGUAAAGAUCCCUGCUCAAACUUCAGAUUCUUGAAGAAAAUAGCUGACUUCUCCAUGCAGCAAAUAAAUUUGGAAUGCUCUGUGAUACAGGAAGAGAGAACUCAAAUGCAGCUAAAGCAAAGCACAGAUGCUGGCACUGGCUGAGCCCUUUUUCUCUUGGUAGAUCCCUGGUGCAGAAGAUCCAAAAGGGCCUGGGGGUAGACACUAGUCUGGCCCAUUUGAACAUCUGCCCACAAUGUGACUGGCUCUUGACAUAAUCAAAGGGUGCACUGGGCCAAGCAAGGUCAGACGGGCGAGGAUGCAGGCCACCUCAGCUUCCAUACCUGUUUGUGGCUCCCGGGAGCAACCACGGGGACUCAGGCUCCAGGGAGAGGGUGCCCUUCCUGAGAGCCAGCUGCUUUGCCCAAGGACAUAAGGGCUAAUUGCAGGAUAACACACACUAGUGCCACCCAGGAUGGUGCCAACACAUUAAUUGUAAUUUGGUCAUGUUUGGUCCCUACCUUUCAUUUGGACAUUCAAACCAUCAUGCCCUGUGUCAUCCUGCCAGGCAGGUAACUGUUUUAAACCAUUAAAAAUAUAUAUACGCAUGUGUGUGUGUGUGUCUAUAUAUUAUAGUACACACUAUAAGAAUGUAAGUAUUCAAACAUCACAAACAAAUUUGACAAACAUAUUUGGUUUUUUUUUUUUUUUUUUUUUUUUGCUUUACCUGGGUCGAUAUGUUUUCUAGAAUGGUAACUUCUGGGACAUUGACAUGGUUAUGGGGUAGGUGGUCUAGUUUAGAAUGUAUGACUAAUAUUUUUGCAGGAAAGUGACAUUUUCUGUUUUCCAGUAACUAAAGACCAUUUAAGUUUCUCAAACAUUAAUUGUAAUUCUGCCUCUGGUAACGUACUCUUUCCCUCCAUUGUGCCACUCACUCUGUGUCUCCUCAUCGCCCAGCCUCCCAGCUCACCUGGCAGCUCUGCUCUCUGCCUCAGGAGGCUGGCAUCUGACAGUGGCACCCAGGUGUGUUUGCUCCCGCUCCCGAUGGUGAACAGCGGAAGCUCUGUCAGGAGUGUGGUAAGAGAAGGGGCAGGUCUUAUCCCUCUCCCCUCCCUGCCUGGUCUUAACAGUGGCUUUUCCUCUACCCCAUGGCACACAUUCUGGAGGUGACUCCUUUCUUGUGGCUAUAGUUGUGACUAGGUCCCAGGAUCUCCACUGUCUCCCAUCUACUUCUGCAGCCUGGAUGCUAAAGGUUUCUGCUGGUGCUAGUUCCUGGGUGUCUCACCAUCCCUUCUUGCUUCUCUGAACCUUGUCUGUAGUGUGUGUCAUGGGCCAAAUUGUGUCCCCUGCAAAUUUAUAUGCCAAAGUCCUACCUCCCAGUGUUUUCAAAUGAGACCAUAUUUGGAGACAGGGCCUCUAAAGAGGUAAUUAGGGUUAAGUGAGGCCAUUAGGAUUGGCCCUAAUCCAACAGGACUGGUGUUUUUAUCAAAACUGAUUUGUGGGGUGGGGGUGCAGCCCAGUGGUAGAGCACAUUGGAGGCCUUGGGUUCAAUCCUGGCACCAAACACACAAAGAAAGAUUUGGACACAGACACAGAGAAAAGGGACACGGGCCCUAGCAAACCAGGUAAGUCACCAUGAUAAAUAGCUCCUCAUUAAACUGCCCAAGGAGCUGGGGGGUGUGCUGUCAUUUCCUCCUGGACCUGCCUCACACACCCAAAAUUGACCCUUCACCAAUCCCACGUUAGCUACCACCACGUUUCUAAGUUUGUAAAAUUUUUCAACAUUUUUGCUUUUAAUUUGUUUUCACUGGGACACUGGAGGACUCACUUUUACAACGAGGAACUUAAACUGGAAGGGCUUCUAAUGGAGAAGGCUGGAGAACCCAGCUCGCCGCCACAUAGAGCAUCUCGUCAUUUCUAGAACAGUUCUAUUCCACUUUCAGAUCAGCUGUGGCUCUGAUCCUGGAUGAGGAAUGACUGGAGCCCAGGGUGUCUCUGAAGGUGCUGCAUGAGAAUCUUAGUUGCUGCUUCGAGGGCUGGGGAUCCCCCUGACGCUUGAGGGGACCAUGCUGGAACUUUCAGAGGGGAGCUGGAACUCAGGGACAUCUAAGGAGGAAAACAGUGUCAUUAGAAUGAGGGCUAUUAAAACAUCAAAGGCAGCUCAUAAUUAAACUUCUUAUAGUGAUAUAAAAUAAUUUUAUAAAAUCAUAGGGCUGGCUGGCACUUACCCAGCCAAUUCCACUCCCCUCUGUGCCCAGGUAGUCUUCACCUGGAACUGCUGCUAGUAAAGUCUUCAGUCUCCAAAGUACUUUCACUAACAUUAUUUCAUUUGCACCUCAAGAAAAUCAUAUGAGGCAGGAAGGUCUUAGCGAACCUUCAUUUUACAAGUAAAAGAAACCAAGGACCGGGUGACAGUGACAGCCCAAGUCCACCCAGCUAAACAGUGUCACAGCUGGCUCUGAACACGGACGAUUCCCAGGCCACAGGAGCGCUGGCACGGUUCCCACGUUCUAUACGCCCUCCUCAGCUACGCAUGCGUACAUCUUCCCUAAAACGGAACAUCCCAGGUUGAGAUCCCAACCACAACUCACAGUGAGAGAGGGUCUCUUCUCCACAUCUGGCCAUGCACAGGAAAGGGAAUGGAGACAGGGAGAGAAAAGAAUAACACGAGCUGAGCUUGCAGGGAGAGAGUGGAGUCUUGUUAAAGUCUGCCCUUACCUUGGCUCCAACUGUGCAGAGAGACGUAAGAGGAUUGUGUCAAACACAGAUCCCACAGCCUCCCCAGACCCAUCCCCUUCCUCCACGCCUGGCAGGCUAGUUGUGGAUCAUAUUGGAUCACUUGGCACAUCUCUCGAAAGCCCUGACAGCUACAUUUGCAGUGCGUGGGUUUCUCUGGAUCUGGGGAAUGCCUCCUUUAGACUCUCAUUGACAUUGUUCAUUCUGUCUUCUCCAGCUAACUGGGUCCCUUGUCAUCCCACAAGGGUGCCUCACACAGAUGGUCCCACCUGAAGUGCUUUUAGCCCUCCCUUACAUCUAUCUAACCUGUCUUUCGAGGCCCAUCAAAUCCCAGAAACUUGAAUAUCUUGAUCCUCCAGGACUCCUCUGUCAACAUGAGCCCUGGAGCCAUUAUUAUCAAGUCCUCUGUCUUGGUGUUGACCCUAUGCUCUCGGGCACUGCUGCUCAUUUCUGAAUGUGAUCGUCCCCUGAGGAGAAUGCAGGCUGCCUGUGAGCAGAGCUGGAAUCUCAUCCUUCACUGACUCUGCGGGGACCUGCCUGCCCUUGGGCAGUCCAUCCACGUGUGAUGAUGUAUUUCUGGGAGAGUGGACAAAACUGGAGUCACAGCAGCAAGUGGCUAAAACCAAAUAGAAGGGAGAUGAAAUGGGGAUAAAUUAUCUUCCCUCAUUUGAAACUUUUAGUGCCGUUUUAGGAUCAGCAUAAAGAUGAUAAACAGGAGUGUCCCCUGUGCUCUGUAGUAACAGUGAAGAUAAAGUAACGCCUGUUGAACGAAGAAGUGGCUUAGCUCUCUGUGACAACAAGAAUGGGAUCGCCUCCCUCACCUGGGACAAUUUCAGGUUUAAUCCUGUGACUGAGCACUGCUUCUCUGUCACUGCAUUGGAGGAACCCCUUUCUCCCGAGCCCCGGGCAGUUCACAGGCCCAGGCAGGCUCCUGGUAGCUCUCCUUUUUCAGGUGGCAGGUCUCAGGGAAUCCCCCUGUCCUGCUGGCCUCUUGGCAGUUGUCACCACCUAUCCAGAUUGCCAAGUCUCUCUUCCCCUCCAGGAUCAGCACCAGGAUGUCCACCUUUCUUCUUGUUCUGGAAAAUAAGCUUGCAGAUCCUCUUCAUUUUAAGACUUCGAUAUCCAUCAUUAUGAGAAAGAGGAUGAGAUUUAAGAGGAAAACAAGAAAGGGUUUUUUGUUUGUUUUUUGUUUGGUGGCGCUAGGGAUUGAACCCAGGGCCUUGUGCAUGCAAGGCAAACACCCUANAUGCAGGCCACCUCAGCUUCCAUACCUGUUUGUGGCUCCCGGGAGCAACCACGGGGACUCAGGCUCCAGGGAGAGGGUGCCCUUCCUGAGAGCCAGCUGCUUUGCCCAAGGACAUAAGGGCUAAUUGCAGGAUAACACACACUAGUGCCACCCAGGAUGGUGCCAACACAUUAAUUGUAAUUUGGUCAUGUUUGGUCCCUACCUUUCAUUUGGACAUUCAAACCAUCAUGCCCUGUGUCAUCCUGCCAGGCAGGUAACUGUUUU
rnacentral:lncRNA from 1 species